UAAUACGUAGGGUGCGAGCGUUAAUCGGAAUUACUGGGCGUAAAGCGUGCGCAGGCGGUUUUGUAAGACAGGCGUGAAAUCCCCGGGCUCAACCUGGGAACUGCGCUUGUGACUGCAAGGCUAGAGUACGGCAGAGGGGGGUGGAAUUCCACGUGUAGCAGUGAAAUGCGUAGAGAUGUGGAGGAACACCAAUGGCGAAGGCAGCCCCCUGGGUCGAUACUGACGCUCAUGCACGAAAGCGUGGGUAGCAAACAGGAUUAGAUACCCUGGUAGUCCACGCCCUAAACGAUGUCAACUAGGUGUUGGGUGGGUAAAACCAUUUAGUACCGUAGCUAACGCGUGAAGUUGACCGCCUGGGGAGUACGGCCGCAAGGUUAAAACUCAAAUGAAUUGACGG
rnacentral:rRNA from 1 species